UGGGAUUCUUAGGAGGCUGCUCAUCAGAUGAUUGUUGUGAAGACUGCUGCAUCUUCUCAGGGCUUCCAUGCGAAUGCUUCUUUGGAGAACACGGAUACGGUUUCUGGAUUCUCCUGGAUUAAAGUUUUCUCCCUUUUUCUUGCUCUGUGGCGGCAUCUCAUCCUCUAUUAGGGAUCGAUUUCUGUGAUUUGUUUUUUCUCUGUUGGCAUUGUGGGAUUGCUUACGUGAAUUCGAGCAACACUUGCGAUCAUCUGUAUCCAUCAAGCGAGAGAAGAUGGGAUGGGUGCUGUUUCAAUGGAUUCUAGUUUGUUCAGUAUACUCGUAUGAAGAGAUUUUACCCCUUUCAAUGAUGACUUUUAUAACAAGAUUACUUUGCUUGCUCGAACUGAAAGCAUGAAAACUAAUAUGAUGAAAGAAAAGUCAAGUUUUGUGUGCAGCCGUUAUAUCUUUUCCCUCCCCUCCAACAGGGGUCG